rnacentral:misc_RNA from 1 species
AAGUCGUAACAAGGUAACCGUAGGUGAACCUGCGGUUGGAUCAUUAAAAAAUCAAAAGCCUGUCAUCGAGUACCGCUUUGUCAAGGGUGCCCGCUCAACUUGUUGACGCUGGAGCACUCGUGCUUAACCUUUGUAAUUUGCAAAGCUGCGGGCAAAGCUUGGGAAAACGUGAAUGUUGGCACCACAUCUUGUGAACAGUAAAUGUCUUUGGUGGUUGGGCGGUAUGCUUGUUUCAAGCUGCCGUCUGUCAGCUUGUGUUUAGCAACUCAAGCCGUGGACAAGCCACCGUUUGUGUUCUUUAAACCUGUUUUUCUUCUAUUUUUUUCUGUCUAACAUUCUUUUUGUAUAAAUAUACAAACAACUUUUGGCAACGGAUCUCUUGGUUCUC